rnacentral:lncRNA from 1 species
ACUGAGGUUGAUGUGAAUCAUAAGGCCAGUUCCCUCGGAGAUGCCCACUUCACCAAGAAGCUCCUGUAACUGCAAAUAGCUAUGGAGAGGAGUCAAUGAAGCCACCAAAAUGCUCAACAAAGGCAUCUCUGAGUUCACUGUGAUGGCAACAGAUGUGAGACCUUGACCUUGGAGAUCAUCCUGCUCCCCCCUCUGCUGUGUGAAGACAAGAGUGUCCCCUAAGUAUUUGGAAGGGCCUGUGUGCCCUUGCCUGUGAAAUCUCCAGGCUGGUCAUCACCUGUUCUGUUACCUUAUCAAACAAGGCUCUGAACUAAAGCAGCAAAUCUAAUACAUUAAGGAGUCUAUUGAAAGGCUCUUGGUAUAG